rnacentral:misc_RNA from 1 species
AAGUCGUAACAAGGUAACCGUAGGUGAACCUGCGGUUGGAUCAUUAACAAAAUUUUUUAAUUCUUAUCUUUUAUAGAUAAGAAUUUAAAAAAGUUAGGUUUUCUUUUUUUUAAGAAAGCUUAAUCUUUCCACAUUUUGUGAACUGUAUUAUUGUUAAAUUUUCUUGAGGAGCUAUUAGUUUUUUUUUAUUCAAAUUUUUUUUUAAUUUGGAAAAAAAAAGAUUUUUGGCUUAUUUCAAACUCAAGAAAUUUUUAUAUUUAAACUUACUAGAUAUUUUUUUGUCUUUAAAUUGUUUAAAAUUAUAAAUUUAAAACAACUUUUAACAACGGAUCUCUAGGCUCUC